rnacentral:rRNA from 1 species
UUAUUUGAGAGUUUGAUCCUGGCUCAGGAUGAACGCUGGCGGCGUGCCUAACACAUGCAAGUUGAGCGAUUUACUUCGGUAAAGAGCGGCGGACGGGUGAGUAACGCGUGGGUAACCUACCCUGUACACACGGAUAACAUACCGAAAGGUAUGCUAAUACGGGAUAAUAUAUUUGAGAGGCAUCUCUUGAAUAUCAAAGGUGAGCCAGUACAGGAUGGACCCGCGUCUGAUUAGCUAGUUGGUAAGGUAACGGCUUACCAAGGCGACGAUCAGUAGCCGACCUGAGAGGGUGAUCGGCCACAUUGGAACUGAGACACGGUCCAAACUCCUACGGGAGGCAGCAGUGGGGAAUAUUGCACAAUGGGCGAAAGCCUGAUGCAGCAACGCCGCGUGAGUGAUGAAGGCCUUCGGGUCGUAAAACUCUGUCCUCAAGGAAGAUAAUGACGGUACUUGAGGAGGAAGCCCCGGCUA